UGGCGGACGGGUGAGUAACGCGUGGAAAACCUGCCGUAUACUGGGGGAUAACACUUAGAAAUAGGUGCUAAUACCGCAUAAGCGCACAGCUUCGCAUGAAGCGGUGUGAAAAACUCUGGUGGUAUACGAUGGUUCCGCGUCUGAUUAGCUAGUUGGUGGGGUAAUGGCCUACCAAGGCAACGAUCAGUAGCCGGCCUGAGAGGGUGAACGGCCACAUCGGGACUGAGACACGGCCCAAACUCCUACGGAAGGCAGCAG
rnacentral:rRNA from 1 species